rnacentral:rRNA from 1 species
AUCCUGGCUUAGGAUGAACGCUAGCGGCAGGCUUAACACAUGCAAGUCGAGGGGCAUCGGGAGUAGCAAUACUUGCCGGCGACCGGCGCAAGGGUGCGUAACGCGUGAGCAACAUGCCCGUAUCAGGGGGAUAAUCCAUGGAAACGUGGUCUAAUACCCCAUAGUAAUUAUGUAAGGCAUCUUAUAUAAUUUAAAGCUUUGGUGGAUACGGAUUGGCUCGCGUGACAUUAGCUGGAUGGUAAGGUAACGGCUUACCAUGGCUACGAUGUCUAGGGGUUCUGAGAGGAAGGUCCCCCCACACUGGAACUGAGACACGGUCCAGACUCCUACGGGAGGCAGCAGUGAGGAAUAUUGGACAAUGGAUGGAAAUCUGAUCCAGCCAUGCCGCGUGCAGGAAAGACGGCCCUAUGGGUUGUAAACUGCUUUUGUAUGGGAGCAAUAAGGGCUACGUGUAGUCCGAUGAGAGUACCAUACGAAUAAGCACCGGCUAACUCCGUGCCAGCCGCUGC